CAUUUAACUCAAUCCACAAUCAAAUACAACGAAGAUAACCUCAACCGAACUCAAACCAAUCCAACUAAUGAGUCGAGCCAACCCAACCCAACCUGAAUAUCCAAAUCAAGUCAUCUCCAAACUUCUUAGACUUAAUAGACGCAGAUCACACGAACCUCCAUUAUCAAAAAAAUGAUCCCCAAACCAAACCCAAGCCUCUACACACCCCUACCACCCGAACCAACUUACGUCGUCCUACAAUUCUACCACCCUCCAAACCACCACCCUUACCUCCGUCGUACCCUAAUCUCAAUCUCUCUCCUCCUUCUCAUCUUUACCAUCGUCUUCCUCCUCUUUCCCUCCGAUCCACACCUCCAACUCGUCCGAGUUAAGCUCAAUCACGUCCGAGUCAACUCGUCCCCUCACCUUUCCCUCGACCUUUCUCUCUCUCUCCUCGUAAAAGUUUUCAACCCUGAUUUAUUCUCCCUUAAUUUCGACUCACUCGCUGUUACGAUCGCGUAUCGAGGGCGAGAAUUAGGGUUUGUUGAAUCUAAUGGUGGGAGAGUGAAAGCGAGAGGUUCUUCGUAUGUUAAUGCGACGGUUGUUGUUGAUGGAUUUGAGGUUUUGCAUGAUUUUUUUUAUUUGGUUGAAGAUGUUGCUGCUGGUAAAGUUCCGUUUGAUACUGUUUCGUUGAUUCGUGGUGAGAUUGGUCUUUUCUUUGUGAAGAUUCCAAUUCAGGCUAAAGUAUCAUGUGAGGUAGAUGUAAAUCCGAAAGACCAGACGAUUGUUCAUCAAAAUUGUUAUCCUGAGUGACACAGGUGGUUAUACAAGAAGUUGCAGUUAUUCAAUCACUAGAUGGUGAUGGCGUGAUGCUGCCUGCUUAGUAAUCUUCAGAAUUAUUUGCUAAGAUGAUCAGAGGAGUAGUUAUGAACCCUGUAGACCAUCCCCAUGGCGAUAAAGGGCAUGACUCGGUUUAGCCGAAUCCGGGCUGAGGUUAAACAGCCAUGUCCUGACCAUGAAUCAACCCGAAGCCUUAGACACAGCCUCGGUUUAAAGUGGACCUUUUCAAGCCUGGUUCAUGAACUUUCUAAAUUUUUUUUAGUUAUUCUGUUUGGAAAUAAGUGAAACGUUACUUCCAAAAAAACUCUCAUAUAAAGGAGAGAAGCGUUUCAUUUAUUUCAGAACGUAUUAAAAAGUAAAGAGAAUAGACUUUUGCAAUCAGAAUUUAGACUAAAAACACUAUAUCUUGAUCACAAAUAAGAAACAUACAAUAUUACAAUUGCA